UACAGAGGUCCCGAGCGUUGUUCGGAUUCACUGGGCGUAAAGGGUGCGUAGGUGGUGAGGUAAGUCGGAUGUGAAAUCUCCGAGCUCAACUCGGAAAUGGCAUUGGAAACUACCUUGCUCGAGGGUUGGAGGGGGGACUGGAAUGCUUGGUGUAGCAGUGAAAUGCGUAGAUAUCAAGCGGAACACCAGUGGCGAAGGCGAGUCCCUGGACAACUCCUGACACUGAGGCACGAAAGCCAGGGGAGCAAACAGG
rnacentral:rRNA from 1 species